AUGAGUCGCAAAGCAGUACAUGUUUCCCGUGAGCACAGUUUAAAACAGGAAUGUAGGCACACAAAAAAAAACAGAUUAUUGGGUCCUCAAAGGGUACGCGGCAAGACCUCUAGGAGACUUGAGAAAAACUGGAAAACUGCACGGACGCGAGUCCAGUUGUCCAGUUUUCGCCAAGUCUCGCCUGCCUGCAGCCAGCGUUGCGUAAAACUAAAAGACAAGAGACGGUCUCUCAGGCUUCAGACCCACAGCCGUGAAAGGGGGCGAGAAUUAAAGAUUUAA
rnacentral:lncRNA from 1 species